CGCCUAACACAUGCAAGUCGAACGAAGUAGCAAUACUUAGUGGCAGACGGGUGAGUAACAUGUAGGUAUCUGCCCUUUGGCCUGGAAUAACACGAGGAAACUUGUGCUAAUACCGGAUAAGUCUUUACGGAGAAAGCUUUAUGCACCAUUGGAUGAGCCUGCACUUGAUUAGUUUGUUGGUGGGGUAAUGGCCUACCAAGACUGUGAUCAAUAGCUGAUUUGAGAGGAUGAUCAGCCACAUUGGGACUGAGACACGGCCCAAACUCCUACGGGAGGCAGCAGUGGGGAAUCUUGCACAAUGGAGGAAACUCUGAUGCAGCGAUGCCGCGUGAGUGAAGAAGGCCUUUGGGUUGUAAAGCUCUUUCGUCGGGGAAGAAAAUGACUGUACCCGAAUAAGAAGGUCCGGCUAACUUCGUGCCAGCAGCCGCGGUAAUACGAAGGGACCUAGCGUAGUUCGGAAUUACUGGGCUUAAAGAGUUCGUAGGUGGUUGAAAAAGUUAGUGGUGAAAUCCCAGAGCUUAACUCUGGAACUGCCAUUAAAACUUUUCAGCUAGAGUAUGAUAGAGGAAAGCAGAAUUUCUAGUGUAGAGGUGAAAUUCGUAGAUAUUAGAAAGAAUACCAAUUGCGAAGGCAGCUUUCUGGAUCAUUACUGACACUGAGGAACGAAAGCAUGGGUAGCGAAGAGGAUUAGAUACCCUCGUAGUCCAUGCCGUAAACGAUGUGUGUUAGACGUUGGAAAUUUAUUUUCAGUGUCGCAGGGAAACCGAUAAACACACCGCCUGGGGAGUACGACCGCAAGGUUAAAACUCAAAUGAAUUGACGGGGACCCGCACAAGUAGUGGAGCAUGUGGUUUAAUUCGAAGAUACGCGCAGAACCUUACCAACACUUGACAUGUUCGUCGCGACUCUAAGAGAUUAGAGUUUUCGGUUCGGCCGGACGAAACACAGGUGCUGCAUGGCUGUCGUCAGCUCGUGUCGUGAGAUGUUGGGUUAAGUCCCGCAACGAGCGCAACCCUCACUUUUAGUUGCCAUCAUUAAGUUGGGCACUCUGAAAGAACUGCCAGUGAUAAGCUGGAGGAAGGUGGGGAUGACGUCAAGUCCUCAUGGCCCUUACGUGUUGGGCUACACACGUGCUACAAUGGCAUCUACAACAGGAAGCAAAACGGCAACGUUAAGCAAAUCCCGAAAAGAUGCCUCAGUUCGGAUUGCACUCUGCAACUCGAGUGCAUGAAGCUGGAAUUACUAGUAAUCGUGGAUCAGCGUGCCACGGUGAAUGCGUUCCCGGGUCUUGUACACACCGCCCGUCACACCAUGGGAGUUGGUUCUACCUUAAGGCAAGGUUUUAAACCCU
rnacentral:rRNA from 1 species